rnacentral:ncRNA from 15 species
CGGGACGAGUGAGGGAGUUCGAACCGGAGUAGCCGACUCUGGCGGGAAGCAGACGGCUUCCGCUGGGGCCGACGUCGACGGUCCGGGCUGAGAGGCCGGAAAGUCGGAAGACCGAGAGGUCGGAAGACCGGAAGGCGACCCCUAGUACCUGAUCCGGGUAAUGCCGGCGCAGGGAACCCGUCUCGUAGGUCA